rnacentral:rRNA from 1 species
UACGUAGGCAGCAAGCGUUGUUCGGAAUUACUGGGCGUAAAGAGUGUGUAGGUGGUGUCGUAAGUUUGGUGUGAAAUCUCCCGGCUUAACUGGGAGGGUGCGCCGAAGACUGCGAUGCUGGAGUAUGGGAGAGGAAAGCGGAAUUCCUGGUGUAGCGGUGAAAUGCGUAGAUAUCAGGAGGAACACCUGCGGUGUAGACGGCCUUCUGGACCAUUACUGACACUGAGACACGAAAGCGUGGGUAGCAAACAGG